rnacentral:lncRNA from 1 species
UGGAUUCGCGUUAGACCCAGCCAAGAUCACCAGUUCUCCCCCUUUCUGGCCUCAGUUACAAGCCUCUUGCUCAAAAAAAAAAAUGCAGGCCCUCUUGAAUUCUGUUUUCCUGGUUGGUUUCUAUCCGCACCCACAAGUCUCUGGCUCCAGAGCCCUUUGUCUCAGCACUUGACUGCAGCUGCGGGAGAGAAGAAGCAGUUAUCUCCACACGUGGACAGAGAAGAUACUACGAUGUGGAAGAGAACUCCCAGGAAAGCCAGCCGAGGUGAGCUGAGACUCACCUCUCCAGUCUGGGUGCCCCAGAGACAGAAGGCUAUCUUGGAGGCUACCACUGCCCUCCCAGCACAAGGGUGGGAUCCUUCCUUACCCGUAUGGCAUUCCCAUGCGGCCAAUCAGGAAGGCCAAGAAAUGGCAUAGUUAGCUCUGCUCCCUUCGCCUAUGCAGCCCCAUCACCUUGCCAAUUCUCAGCCAGCCCUCAGUUAGAAGUCUCUGGGAAGGACUUCCCAGGGGCAGCCCAGAAGGGAGUGGCUUCAAAUACUGAGAAAAUACUCGCUUUAAAAAAAAGGAAAAAAAA